rnacentral:rRNA from 1 species
CGCGUAGGCGGCUGAUUAAGUCUGGAGUGGAAGUCCUAUUUUCAAGGUAGGAAUUGCUUUGGAAACUGAUCAGCUUGAGUGCAGGAGAGGUUAUCGGAAUUCCCGGUGUAGCGGUGAAAUGCGUAGAGAUCGGGAGGAACACCAGUGGCGAAGGCGGGUAACUGGACUGCAACUGACGCUGAGGCGCGAAAGUGUGGGGAGCAAACA